AUUGAACGCUGGCGGCAGGCUUAACACAUGCAAGUCGAGCGGGGUGAUGGUGCUUGCACUAUCACUUAGCGGCGGACGGGUGAGUAAUGCUUAGGAAUCUGCCUAUUAGUGGGGGACAACAUCUCGAAAGGGAUGUUAAUACCGCAUACGUCCUACGGGAGAAAGCAGGGGAUCACUUGUGACCUUGCGCUAAUAGAUGAGCCUAAGUCGGAUUAGCUAGUUGGUGGGUAAAGGCCUACCAAGGCGACGAUCUGUAGCGGGUCUGAGAGGAUGAUCCGCCUCACUGGGACUGAGACACGGCCCAGACGCCUACGGGAGGCAGCAGUGGGGAAUAUUGGACAAUGGGGGGAACCCUGAUCCAGCCAUGCCGCGUGUGUGAAGAAGGCCUUAUGGUUGUAAAGCACUUUAAGCGAGGAGGAGGCUCUUUUGGUUAAUACCCAAGAUGAGUGGACGUUACUCGCAGAAUAAGCACCGGCUAACUCUGUGCCAGCCGCCGCCGUAA
rnacentral:rRNA from 1 species